rnacentral:rRNA from 1 species
AUUGAACGCUGGCGGCAUGCCUUACACAUGCAAGUCGAACGGUAACAGGUCUUCGGACGCUGACGAGUGGCGAACGGGUGAGUAAUGCAUCGGAACGUGCCCAGUCGUGGGGGAUAACUGCUCGAAAGAGCAGCUAAUACCGCAUACGACCUGAGGGUGAAAGCGGGGGACCGUAAGGCCUCGCGCGAUUGGAGCGGCCGAUGUCAGAUUAGCUAGUUGGUGGGGUAAAGGCCUACCAAGGCAACGAUCUGUAGUUGGUCUGAGAGGACGACCAGCCACACUGGGACUGAGACACGGCCCAGACUCCUACGGGAGGCAGCAGUGGGGAAUUGUGGACAAUGGGCGCAAGCCUGAUCCAGCAAUGCCGCGUGCAGGAAGAAGGCCUUCGGGUUGUAAACUGCUUUUGUCAGGGAAGAAAUCUUCUGGGCUAAUACCCCGGGAGGAUGACGGUACCUGAAGAAUAAGCACCGGCUAACUACGUG